UACAUGGGGUGCAAACGUUGCUCGGAAUUAUUGGGCGUAAAGCGCGCGUAGGCGGUUACUCAAGCCGGAUGUGAAAGCCCUCGGCUUAACUGAGGAAGUGCACCCGAAACUGAGUAGCUAGAGUACUAAAGAGGGUCGCGGAAUUCCCGGUGUAGAGGUGAAAUUCGUAGAUAUCGGGAGGAACACCGGUGGCGAAGGCGGCGACCUGGGUAGAUACUGACGCUGAGGCGCGAAAGCGUGGGGAGCAAACAGG
rnacentral:rRNA from 1 species